rnacentral:rRNA from 1 species
GAGGGUGCGAGCGUUAAUCGGAAUUACUGGGCGUAAAGCGCACGCAGGCGGUCUGUCAAGUCGGAUGUGAAAUCCCCGGGCUCAACCUGGGAACUGCAUUCGAAACUGGCAGGCUAGAGUCUUGUAGAGGGGGGUAGAAUUCCAGGUGUAGCGGUGAAAUGCGUAGAGAUCUGGAGGAAUACCGGUGGCGAAGGCGGCCCCCUGGACAAGACUGACGCUGAGGUGCGAAAGCGUUAAGUGAUCC